GAGACGCCCUAUUGGGGCAGGACUUGUUUCAGUGGGGCUUGGUGCUCACUGAGUCUUCCCCUUGUGUGUGUCUCU
rnacentral:pre_miRNA from 1 species